rnacentral:rRNA from 1 species
GGAGUCUGGUCCGUGUCUCAGUACCAGUGUGGGGGACCUUCCUCUCAGAACCCCUACGCAUCGUCGCCUUGGUGAGCCGUUACCUCACCAACCAGCUAAUGCGACGCAUGCCCAUCCCGCACCACCGGAGCUUUCCACCUCUAAUCAUGCGACCAAAGGUUCUACGGGGUAUUAGACCGCGUUUCCGCGGAUUAUCCCCCUGUGCGGGGCAGGUUGCAUACGUGUUACUCACCAGUGCGCCGGUCGCCACCAGCAGUGUUGCCACCGCCGUGCUGCCCCUCGACUUGCAUGUGUUAAGCCUGUCGCUAGCGUUCAUC